rnacentral:rRNA from 1 species
GACGGAGGAUGCAAGCGUUAUCCGGAAUGAUUGGGCGUAAAGCGUCCGCAGGUGGCAGUUCAAGUCUGCUGUCAAAGACCGGGGCUUAACUUCGGAGAGGCAGUGGAAACUGAACAGCUAGAGUAUGGUAGGGGCAGAGGGAAUUCCUGGUGUAGCGGUGAAAUGCGUAGAUAUCAGGAAGAACAUCGGUGGCGAAGGCGCUCUGCUGGACCAUAACUGACACUCAGGGACGAAAGCUAGGGGAGCGAAUGGG